CCCUCUGGGGUGCAGCAGGCGGAAUGAUAAGUCAGUGGUGAAAUCCUACGGCUCCACUGUAGAACUGCCAUUGAUACUGUCGUUCUUGAGUACCCUUGGAGUGGGCGGAAUGUGUCAUGUAGCGGUGAAAUGCUUAGAUAUGACACAGAACACCGAUCGCGAAGGCAGCUCACUAAAUUGUAACUGACGCUCAGGCACGAAAGCGUGGGGAUCAAACA
rnacentral:rRNA from 1 species